AAUGGGGGAUAACGUAGCGAAAGUUACGCUAAUACCGCAUAUGCCCUGAGGGGGAAAGUGGGGGAUCGCAAGACCUCACGUUUUCGGAGCGGCCGAUAUCAGAUUAGCUAGUUGGUGGGGUAAAGGCCCACCAAGGCGACGAUCUGUAGCUGGUCUGAGAGGACGACCAGCCACACUGGGACUGAGACACGGCCCAGACUCCUACGGGAGGCAGCAGUGGGGAAUUUUGGACAAUGGGGGCAACCCUGAUCCAGCCAUGCCGCGUGAGUGAAGAAGGCCUUCGGGUUGUAAAGCUCUUUCGGACAGAAAGAAAUCCUAUCCAUUAAUACUGGGUGGGGAUGACGGUACUGUAAGAAGAAGCACCGGCUAACUACGUGCCAGCAGCCGCGGUAAUACGUAGGGUGCGAGCGUUAAUCGGAAUUACUGGGCGUAAAGCGUGCGCAGGCGGUUUUGUAAGACAGAUGUGAAAUCCCCGGGCUUAACCUGGGAACUGCAUUUGUGACUGCAAGGCUAGAGUGUAGCAGAGGGGGGUAGAAUUCCA
rnacentral:rRNA from 1 species